UGCUGGAUAGCUCACUCGGUAAAGCAUCGCGUUGCAACUGCCACGGCGCGGGUUCGAUUCCCGCCUCGUAC